CCAUCAUUUUCGCAAGUGUCGCAACUGUCGCGGUAAAUACUACAGUUCCCAUCAUGCUUUGCUUUGUCAGUGCUCCUCAACCAAAACAACGAUGGUGUGUUGAGGCUUAUACUGUAUCUAUGGUUAAGACUGUACAGGAAUGCCUGUUCUAAGAGCUUCUCGUUUCUAAAACUUAUCUGGGCUGUGAGCAGAGGACCGCGCCCUCCCGUUUAGCCCCUCGUGCCCCGCAGCCGACCCUUUAUAAGAUCAGACUCCAAGCUGUUUGUCCAGAGGUCUCUCUCUUUUCUCCAGUGAAAGACGAACCUCUUUCCAUCUUUCCGCCUGUGACUGAGGAGUAUCUGCAGAUCUCAUCUCCAAACGAGCUUCUGCUAAUCCAACGAUGAUGAAGACGUCCAGAGGAGUCAUCGUCUUCCUGUCUGCUUGACGCGUCUCAGUGAGCUGUAUGGGAGCGUUUAAUGAGCU
rnacentral:lncRNA from 1 species